UGCAGGCCUCCUGCCACGUCUCCUUGACUUCCUACACAUGGGGAUGGACCAGUCUUGAGUUUGGAGGAGGCAGUCCUUGAAAAUCAGCCAGAUCUCCUGGGCUCCUCCUCUCUCCAAGAUGAUAUCCCGUGGGAUUGCUUCUGCCCUUCUGUGUUGUCCCUCCUGCAGACAUCGGCAUUGUUAGAGUCUUCCAUGAGGACUAGGGCCAGUGAACAAGAUAUUUCUUCCAGUUGUCCAAAAGAGGCCUGAUGAUCUGCUGCUUCUUUUUUAUCACACACUCUGUAGCAGACACCCACACCAAUGUAACCCGCGUUGGUCUGCCAGCCAGCCCAGACCCAUAUGCUCAUCUGGGUCAUGGCAGAGCUCCAUGCAUCACUGCUUCUCUUUCCAAUACAGGACAACUGCCCCUCCUCGUCAUCCCAGCCUGUCCUUCUCAAAGACCCCGUACAGAGCCACUGCAGCACUCUAGUUGUGUGAGUGUGAUUUGCCCAUUACUUUGAGAUUUCUAAAAAUCCAGGCUCCAUCCACUGAAGAAUUCAAAGGAUCACUGAUGGAGGAAUGAUGGCAGUAGAAUCACCUGCAUGCAUCAGCUGCAUGGAAACACCCAGGUGUGUAUAGGGAUAUCAAACCAAGUCCUAUGCACGUUUGAUGUAAUACAUGAGCAGGUUCUGCUCCCAGUCCUGAACCUCUUUGAACGGUGACCAUACAAUUUUUUUUCACCUAAGCUCUGGGAGAAGAUCCCUGCUCAGCCAAGUUGGCCUUCUGCCCCACCUGCAUGACUUUGGACGUUAUGGAAUUGCUCGGUAAGAAGUGGUACUUUAAAAGUGACCAGCACUGGUGGACUCCAAUGCCUUCAGAAGCAGUUUUCCUAGGGAACUUACCAAAUAGUUCCCCGAGCAGCAUGAAGUCUGAUUUCCCCAUAUCCAAUGUUACUGUGGCUCUUUUUCUCCUAUCACCAAGGACUAUAUGUUCACCAAUCUCAUGGUCACUAUAGCCAAGACAGCCUCCAUGCACCAUUUCACCCACGAGACCUUCUCUGCUUACAAGCAACAAAUCUAUGAGGCACCUUUCCUAGUUGACUCCCUUGGUAUCUGUAGCAAGAAGUACUACCAAAGACAUAAAAAUAUUUGUCUCUCUGGAAGAUCUCAGUCUUAUCCAUGAAAUCUCCCUCUUUUUUCUACUGGUCUGAAGCACACACUGAUAUUGAACAUUUCAGGAACUCCUCCAACCUUUGUGAAACAGUUGAAUUUACUAUGUGCAGAUUAUAAAUGACAUCAAUUUUGAAGGGUCAAGGUAUGAAAUAUGAUGUUGUUGCAAUACAUUUACUGUACCCACUAACUCUCACCAUCUGUACAUCACAGACAUCACUGAAAUAGCACAUUUUCUCUGAAAAAAAAGAAGAAAGAUCUUCAAAAUACAGUAUUUUCUCAGAAUCUUGCAAGCUUUAGAAGUUUAUUCUCUUUCCAAGGAACAGUUACAAAAGAGCUUCUGCAAAGUAAGGAAAGUAGAAGAAGUACUAUCCACCAAAUUCUGAAGGACAGAACAGUCCAGUAUCAAGGUCAGGAGCAAUUUCUAUAGUUGAUGAAAGCACGUAAGAAACAAUUUUCCUCCAGUCCCAGAAUUCACAUAUCUGCAUAUUUGUAUCUUGCACAUAUGCAAGAAAAAUCCCAUUGACUUUUACAAGUUUUGCUUGAAUAAAAGUGAAGAAACAAAUAUUUGUCCUCUCAGACUUAUCUGCUCCAUUUUUGCUACAUGCCCUGAGAACACAUGGCAAACCAUUAUAAAGAGAAAAUAACUAUCUUCCCAUAGUACAAAAUGAUGCACUCUUAGGUGGUGGGAUUUGGCACACGGGAAUUUCAACCCGAUGUAUCUCAUCUCCUCUCUGACAGAGGCCUCAUCACAACAGCACCACUCUCACUGCUUGCAGAAAUUCUCCAAAAUGCGUCAGUAUGGUGUUUAUCCUCACAGAGUGCUUAGGAUGGAGACACAUGAAUGGCUCACAUGAGGCAGGUGUCCUUGGUACAGAGAGACAUGGACUUGUUGGAUCCUGUCCUGAGGAGGGCCACAGAAACAAUCCAAGGGGUGGAAUAUCUCUCCUAUGAGGACAAGCUGGGUGAGCUGGGGCUGUUCAGCUUGGAGAAGAGAAGGCUCCAGGGGGAGCUGAGAGUGGCCCUUCAAGUAUCUAAAGGGGGGCUAUAAGAAGAAAGGGGGCAGACUCUUUAGCAGGAUCUGUUGCGAUAGAACAAGAGGAAGUGUCUUCUAACUAAAAGAGGG
ensembl:lncRNA